GUGCCAGCAGCCGCGGUAAUACAGAGGUCUCAAGCGUUGUUCGGAUUCAUUGGGCGUAAAGGGUGCGUAGGUGGUAUCGUAAGUCGGAUGUGAAAUCUCGGGGCUCAACCCCGAAACUGCAUUCGAUACUGCGGUGCUUGAGGACUGGAGAGGAGAUUGGAAUUCACGGUGUAGCAGUGAAAUGCGUAGAUAUCGUGAGGAAGGCCAGUGGCGAAGGCGGAUCUCUGGACAGUUCCUGACACUGAGGCACGAAGGUCAGGGGAGCAAACGGGAUUAGAUACCCUGGUAGUCC
rnacentral:rRNA from 1 species